rnacentral:rRNA from 1 species
GAUGAACGCUAGCGGCAGGCUUAACACAUGCAAGUCGAGGGGCAGCAUGGGACGGAGAUUCGUCGAAGUCCUGAUGGCGACCGGCGGAAGGGUGCGUAACGCGUGAGCAACUUUCCCGUAUCAGGGGGAUAACCGGUGGAAACGCCGACUAAUACCCCAUAACAACAGGGCAGGCAUCUGCUUUGUUUGAAAGCUACGGUGGAUACGGAUAGGCUCGCGAGACAUUAGCUAGUUGGAGUGGUAACGGCACACCAAGGCGACGAUGUCUAGGGGUUCUGAGAGGAAGGUCCCCCCACACUGGAACUGAGACACGGUCCAGACUCCUACGGGAGGCAGCAGUGAGGAAUAUUGGUCAAUGGGCGGAAGCCUGAACCAGCCAUGCCGCGUGAAGGAUGACGGCCCUAUGGGUUGUAAACUGCUUUUAUAAGGGAAUAAAGUGAGCCUCGUGAGACUUUUUGCAUGUACCUUAUGAAUAAGGACCGGCUAAUCCGUGCCAGCAGCCGACGG